rnacentral:rRNA from 1 species
AUACGGAGGAUCCGAGUGUUAUCCGGAUUUAUUGGGUUUAAAGGGUGCGCAGGCGGGAGAUUAAGUCGGCGGUGAAAUUUUGCAGCUCAACUGUAAAAGUGCCUUCGAAACUGGUUUCCUUGAGUGUAGAUGAAGUAGGCGGAAUUUGUGGUGUAGCGGUGAAAUGCAUAGAUAUCACGAGGAACUCCGAUUGCGCAGGCAGCUUACUAAACUACUACUGACGCUCAGGCACGAAGGCGUGGGGAUCAAACAGGAUUAGAUACCCUGGUAGUCCACGCAGUAAACGAUGAUUACUAGCUGUUUGCGAUACAAUGUAAGCGGCUGAGCGAAAGCGUUAAGUAAUCCACCUGGGGAGUACGUUCGCAAGAAUGAAACUCAAAGGAAUUGACGGGG